GUAAGGCACAGGUGGCAGGAGGUUGGCGGCCGGGAGGGCUCCUGUCCCAGGGCCACGUGCACAGGACUGGAUUGAACUUGGGACCUUGCGCUGGCAGGCAGGCGCCGGAACCACUGAGCUAAAUCCCCGGCCCCACUUCUAAAUUUUUAUUUAGAGAAAGAACUACGAACCAACACUCCUGAGCAGCUUGAAGCGUGCGUGCUAUGGUCUUACACGAAGGGAGCCGCAGUCCCCUGUCCAGCCUGAACAGCUCUGCCUGGCUUCAUUGUAUUUGCCCUGAGUGCCCAAGAAAGACUGCACGCCCUGGAUUCCUGGUUUUCCAGACAAGACUGGAUUAUGAAAAUAAACCUCCUCUUCUUCAUCCUGCCUCCUCCCCGAACCCCCACCCCCGGCCGCCUUCCCGAGCAGAGCCUGCGGGAAUCAGUGCCUGUGCUGGGUGAAAGCAUCUUUAAACCUCGCCUCAGAACUGGCCUCUCCACCCUCAGAGGAAAUGCACGGAACCACACACCUGCUCCUCCCAGGGCUCAGCGAGAAGCCAGGGAGUCCAGGUGGGAGCGACCUGGUGUCAGCUGGGUUUCAGAUCCCGCUGCCGCUGGGGCACUGCAGGAGCCCUCGGCAGUGUGACUAGGAAGCAGGGCUGGGCUGCAGGGUCACAGAACCCAGGUCUGCAUCCGGGACCCCUAAGCAAGGGGCUUGGAUGAUCCAAAGAUGGACAGUGCUUCCACACACACUCCUUUGGUUUUGUGCUAAGCUGAAAAAUGAGCGCUUCCCAGAAAUGCCAGGAAAACCUCCCUCAGAGGUCAGCAAACAGGAUCCAUGUCCAGAGAAGGGGCUUCCAAACUGGGCUCCUUCUGCAAGUCUGCUUGUGGCAUACCAAUCACCUGUUGCUCCUGUUGUCACCCUCAUCUGACUCACUGGGUGACCAAGCUUUGAAAAUCAAACAGUGCUUUGGUGACAAUGGGAGCCUGAGAGUGGGUUAGGAUCCCACUCCAGUCACCUCCCAGCGCUGCAGGAUUCUGAACACCUCCACCUGAGGCUUCCAGCCCUGCAGGUGGAUACAACAG
rnacentral:lncRNA from 1 species